GAAGUAAUAGAAACUCCCUAUUUGAUCCUUCACUUGUAGAUUGAAUGUGUUAUUUCUCCCUGGGGGUAUUGGGCAUGUUGUUCCAUAUACUCCAUCAACGAAUGAGUUUCUCCUGUUCUGUACUCCGUUCCAGGAAAGUAGAAAAGGUUCAUCCAAGCUGUUGUGGAUAUUGAUAACGAGAUUGUCAUUGGUGACCGAGUUGAUAUCAGGACCAGGAAAUUGACCAUUAAUCAGAAUUCCCUGUUGAGGAACUCCGAGAGGAUAUAUAGUUCCAUAAGUGACAUUCCAAUCGAAAUAUCUAUAAGGAUCUUCUGCUACAACAGAAUUCCCAGAUAAUACCACUAAAAACACCGCUACGGCGAAUUUUAGCGGCAACAUAUUUUUC
rnacentral:misc_RNA from 1 species